AAAAAAUUAAAAAAUAAAGGAGAAUCCAAACCCAUCGUGAUUCUCCAGGCUUCGUCGAUCUGUUUUUCUUCUGCUCUUCUACUUCGCCCAAACACAGAGAAUUGUGUUGUCCAGGAACAAGAGUGAUAGAGGAGAAGCUCUUAUAGAUGAAAACAGUGGGGUUAUGGAUGAAAACAGUGGGCGUAUCCAUGAGUAAAGAAUUGGUCCUAGAGGAGAAGCUCCGAUAGAUGAAAACAAUGGGGCUAUGGACGGGAUUCAGCAAAGAAACGGUUCUUUUAUAAUUAUAAUUAUAUAUAUAUAAUUAAUUAAUUAAAAAAUAUUUAAUCGACGUAUCCUUCUCGUACCCGUAUCCUAGAAUAUUUAAGAUUUGUCGUAUCCACGUAUCGCACCGUAUCGUAUCCGGAUACUCGUACCCGUAUCGGUGCUACUUAGCAUAUAAUUGUAGAAAUGAUACUUUGUCAUUUUGUUAUCAUGCCUUAUUAUGUAUUGUCUAAUCACUUAAUGAAUGUUGUUUAUAGUACUGAUGAUUAGCAUGAUAUGUCAAGUCAUCAUAUGCAAGAUAAGAGUCUCAAGCACUUUGUGUAGGUGUUCAUUGAGACGUGAUGGAACUUGUGGAACAUAAUACAUUGAGGCAAUCCUAUUGGAUAUGGUUCAGGCAGAGGAUUACUUGCAGCAGCCCCCUAUUCAGGAACUAAUUGGAAGGGAUCUUCAUGAUAUAUAAUGAAUGGAAAUUCAGACAUAUUUCGAGGAGGCUUGCAACAACACUGGAGUAAUUGGUACAUGAAGUAGAUCGAGGAAGAUCCCUGCAAAGUUCAUCUUGAAGUAGAGGAAAAUAACUAACUUGUAAAGCUUAAUUAUCGAUCUUGUAAAUUUUGGUAGAAGCUUCAUUCAUUUUGUAACAUUCAUGAGGAAAAGUAAAGUGUAACAUUUCCUUUUA